GAAUAUCGGAUAAUGGGCGAAAGCCUGACUCAGCCAUGCCGCGAGUGUGAAGAUGGUCUUCGGAUUGUAUAACACAUUAAGUCAGGAGGCAGUGAUGUAGAAUUAUAUUCUGCACUUUCGACGUUACCGACUGUAUAAGCCCCGGCUUAUUUCGCGCUCGCAGCCGCGGUAAUACGAUGGGUGCAAGCGUUAAUCGGAAUUACUGGGCGUAAAGGGCGCGUAUGUGGUUUGUUAAGUUGGAAGUGAGAGACCCGGGCUCAACCUGGGAACUGCUUUCAAAACAGGCAAGCUAGAGUAUGGCAGAGGGUGGUGGAAUUUCCUGUGUAGCGGUGAAAUGCGUAGAUAUAGGAAGGAACACCAGUGGCGAAGGCGACCACCUGGGCUAAUACUGACACUGAGGUGCGAAAGCGUGGGGAGCAAACAGG
rnacentral:rRNA from 1 species